rnacentral:other from 1 species
GGCUCCCUGCUGUGUUCGUGACGGGUGACGAAGUCUUGAGCCAACACCCAUAAGUAGGGUGCCAUAUUGGGGUGUGGAUUGCAUUAGUUUUUUGAAACGGGACGCAUGAAACACUCUUGAGGCGCCCACCUUACUAUAGGGUUCAGAGACUUGAACUCGCACGGCACCAAGCGGGGAUUUU